UUGUCGGGUGUGACACAAAGUCUAUGAUAUUCUUCAUUCUAUAAUUCACCAAAUGAAGGGUCACAGACUUUGUCUUCGACCACACUUCAUUG
rnacentral:pre_miRNA from 1 species